rnacentral:rRNA from 1 species
UACGGGGGGAGCAAGCGUUGUUCGGAUUUACUGGGCGUAAAGGGCGCGUAGGCGGUCAGCACAAGUCAGUUGUGAAAUCUCCGGGCUUAACUCGGAAAGGUCAACUGAUACUGUGCGACUAGAGUGCGGAAGGGGCAACUGGAAUUCCUGGUGUAGCGGUGGAAUGCGCAGAUAUCAGGAGGAACACCGGUGGCGAAGGCGGGAUCCUGGGCCAGUACUGACGCUGAGGAGCGAAAGCGUGGGGAGCAAACAGG